UAGGGAAUCUUCGGCAAUGGGGGGAACCCUGACCGAGCAACGCCGCGUGAGUGAAGAAGGUUUUCGGAUCGUAAAGCUCUGUUGUUAAGGAAGAACGAGUGUGAGAAUGGAAAGUUCAUGCUGUGACGGUACUUAACCAGAAAGGGACGGCUAACUACGUGCCAGCAGCCGCGGUAAUACGUAGGUCCCGAGCGUUGUCCGGAUUUAUUGGGCGUAAAGCGAGCGCAGGCGGUUAGAAAAGUCUGAAGUGAAAGGCAGUGGCUCAACCAUUGUAGGCUUUGGAAACUGUUUAACUUGAGUGCAGAAGGGGAGGGGGGAAUUCCAUGUGUAGCGGUGAAAUGCGUAGAUAUAUGGAGGAACACCGGUGGCGAAAGCGGCUCUCUGGUCUGUAACUGACGCUGAGGCUCGAAAGCGUGGGGAGCGAACAGG
rnacentral:rRNA from 1 species